UCCUCUCGAGCUGUUCCUCUGGCGAAACCUUCCGAUUCGCCUUAUUACAUUGGGUUGGAGAGAGUCAAGACGGAUCCGUACGAUCGGAUUAAGAACACGGAUGGGAUUAUUCAGCUUGGAUUAGCUGAGAGUACACUGUGCUUUGACUUGCUACAGAGAUGGAUGUCUGAGAAUUUGAUGGAGUCGAUGAUGCAAUCUGAUGAUGGUAAAUUCGAUAUUAGUAGUAUCGCAAUGUAUAAACCUAUUGAAGGAUUACUGGAACUCAGAGAUAAUCGCUCUUAGAAGAGCAAAGAGGAGAAACAUGGAACGUUUGGUUUUGGCAUGUGGUGGAGAAGCUGUGAACUCCGUUGAUGACUUGACCCCUGAUUCUCUUUGUUGGGCUGGAUUUGUAUAUGAGCACGUUCUUGGAAAGGAGAGGUACACAUUUGUCGAGCAAGUGAAGAAUCCUCAUUCAUGUACUAUCCUCAUAAAAGUUUAAGGGAAUGCCAAGUAAAAGAUGACACCAAAAAAAUUCAAAGAAAGCAAAAGAGGUACAAGCACCUGAAAUGCCAUCAAGACCUGAGAUUUUCAGUUCAGAGAAAGCAAAAGACAAGCACCUAAAAUGCCAUCAAGACCUGAAAUCUAGAAUUCAGAGAAAGCAAAAGAGGUCCAAGCCAAUAACAGCUUCUGUGUGUAUGUGUAAUGUGUGUAAACUUAUCAUGUAUGCAAAUAUGAAUGUUUAAGAGAAAAAUCUUUUUCAUGGUUGAACAAAAGAGAGAAACACACAAACAUGUGAUC